UACGAAGGGGGCUAGCGUUGCUCGGAAUCACUGGGCGUAAAGCGCACGUAGGCGGGUUGCCAAGUCGGGGGUGAAAUCCUGGAGCUCAACUCCAGAACUGCCUUCGAUACUGGCGACCUUGGAGUCCGGGAGAGGUGAGUGGAACUGCGAGUGUAGAGGUGAAAUUCGUAGAUAUUCGCAGGAACACCAGUGGCGAAGGCGGCUCACUGGCCCGGUACUGACGCUGAGGUGCGAAGGCGUGGGGAGCGAACGGG
rnacentral:rRNA from 1 species